rnacentral:lncRNA from 1 species
UGCGGUGUUGUUGAUGAUAACUCCAAGUUCAACUAUGGCAUAUACAUGCAGGCUAUGUCCUCAGACAUUGUUGGUUCCAGGGUCUUCGUCUCCAAGUUCUUCUACUGCUUGUGGUGGGGCCUGCAGAACUUGAGGUACCAUAUUUACAAUUCCCUUUUAGAAUGAUCAACAAAAUAUACUACCACCUGAAAAGGAAAACAAAUAGGAAAAGAAGUUUUGAUGAUAGUCAACUCACAGUUAAUAUCUCAUUUUCUGUUUCAUGAAGCACACUUGGUCAGGGUCUCCAAACCAGUACCUACCCUUUGGAGGUUAUCUUUUCCAUUUCACUAGCCAUUUCCGGUCUCAUUCUCUUUGCUCUUCUCAUUGGAAACAUGCAGGUGAUCAAACAUUACUGUCCUUAUGUACAUUCAGAUUAAUCAGAAGUUGUAUGUGGUAUUGGAAAUAACAAGAUGUAAUAAAAAGGUGUUUCUUGUUUUCUCAUUGGGUUGCUGCAGACUUACCUCCAGUCUCUGACUGUUCGUCUAGAGGAGAUGAGGAUCAAAAGGCGCGAUUCGGAGCAAUGGAUGCAUCACCGGCUGCUGCCUCAGGAUCUCAGAGAGCGGGUAAGACGCUAUGAUCAGUACAAAUGGCUUGAAACUCGGGGAGUUGAUGAAGAAACUCUGGUCCAAAGUCUGCCAAAAGAUCUUAGGAGAGACAUCAAACGCCAUCUUUGUCUUAACUUAGUCAGAAGGGUAAGGAAUGAAACAAUUUUCACCUGUGUUCUCUUCGGAUAAUGCUUUUUAACAGUUACUCCAGUUUAACCAAAACUUGUCUACUUUGCAGGUCCCU